rnacentral:rRNA from 1 species
GAUGAACGCUGGCGGCGUGCUUAACACAUGCAAGUCGAACGGAAAGGCUCCUGCUUGCAGGGGUACUCGAGUGGCGAACGGGUGAGUAACACGUGGGUGAUCUGCCCUGCACUUCGGGAUAAGCCUGGGAAACUGGUCUAAUACCGGAUAGGACGAUGGUUUGGAUGCCAUUGUGGAAAGUUUUUCGGUGGGGGAUGAGCUCGCGGCCUAUCAGCUUGUUGGUGGGGUAAUGGCCUACCAAGGCGUCGACGGGUAGCCGGCCUGAGAGGGUGUACGGCCACAUUGGGACUGAGAUACGGCCCAGACUCCUACGGGAGGCAGCAGUGGUGAAUAUUGCACAAUGGGCGCAAGCCUGAUGCAGCGACGCCGCGUGGGGGAUGACGGCCUUCGGGUUGUAAACUCCUUUCGCUAGGGACGAAGCGCAAGUGACGGUACCUGGAGAAGAAGCACCGGCUAACUACGUG